GUAGGAAUUACGAUGCUCUUACAAUGUUCAUAAGCGCGAUGUUUUUGAUAUUAUUUAUUCUUGUAUUUGGUUCAUGCGAAGAUCAGUUUUGCAAUAGCGUAUUCAAACCUUUUGCACUUGUUGCAACGGUCUGCAUUGUGGACGUAUUGGAAGCCAAUUCAUUAAACUUUGCAUUGUCGAUCUAUCCAAAAGAAGACUUUCUACCAAAUGGCACUGGAGUAAAUGACGCUUGUAGGAAGAACUGAAUGAUAUUGUGGGAUACAUACUUAGUUAAUAACCAAUAUAUUUGUCAGUUAAUAAAGCCUUGUUAUCCACAUU